GGGCGAAUGGUCUAGGGGUAUGAUACUCCCUUCGCAUGUCUGAGAUUUCUCAGAACCAGUGACUGGGAGGGGUCCGGGGUUCAAUUCCCCGUUCGUCCA